AUCGCUUCUCGGCCUUUUGGCUAAGAUCAAGUGUAGACUCAGUUGUAUAAUUUCAGAAAUUUUAAAUUUCAAAUCUCUAUUUUUGAUAGGGGCACGUUUUAAUUAUAUAAGCUUAUUUUUUGCAUAUGGAUACCACCAUACCAUGGAGACUUUAA
rnacentral:snRNA from 1 species